rnacentral:rRNA from 1 species
GACGUAGGGCGCGAGCGUUGUCCGGAUUUAUUGGGCGUAAAGAGCUCGUAGGCGGUGUGUCGCGUCUGCUGUGAAAACUCAGGGCUCAACUCUGAGCUUGCAGUGGGUACGGGCACACUUGAGUGCUGUAGGGGAGACUGGAAUUCCUGGUGUAGCGGUGAAAUGCGCAGAUAUCAGGAGGAACACCGGUGGCGAAGGCGGGUCUCUGGGCAGUUACUGACGCUGAGGAGCGAAAGCAUGGGGAGCGAACAGG